AGUAGUGUGGGUGGACGAGGACAGCGGGUGGAACUGGUCCUUCUGUGACUUUGCAGCCCCGGCUUGGUGAUAAUUUUUGUGCAGGCUUCUUGACAUGGAAAGCAGAGCUCCCCAGCACAGAGUGAGCCUCCGAAGGGCUCCUGCCCUUACCGGUGCCCUACCCUCCCUUUCCCUGCUUGCUACACUUGGGUCCGGGACUCAGCCUCCCUUUGCAAGCUUCUGCUCGGCCUGUGUGCAGCUGCACUUAGCUGGCAGGGUCAGGCGUUGAGUAGCCGCUCCGCUCCUUCUGCAGCCUCCUGCAGCCCCCGCCAGCUCCCGGGCUCCAUCCCUCACCAUCAGUUGCUGAUUGGCGCCCCCUGCGUGCACAACGGAGGCUGGCUGCACCUGGAGGUUCCCAGCAAUUCCAGGCCGGCUCCAGCCUAGCCAAAGCAGCUAACUUCUCUGCUGUCUCGUGGGCUGAACCUCACCGUUUCCCAAGAGGAGCUGCCUGGCAAUGGUAGCAGGUGAAGGUCAUGGUGAAGAAGAUGCAGAUAUUGGCAAUUUGGAGCAUUAGAUGAACUAAUUACAACGUUAACCUAAGGAACAGUGCAACAGAAAAUGGGCUAAGACAUGGAGCAAGGGGCAGAACGACUCUUGAAGAUGCUGAGCAACUUCUGUGAGGACAACAUGGAAUGAUCCCUAAGGUGGAGCAGGAAGCUGUCAAGAGAGGGGAAAAGGUGAAGGAUUC
rnacentral:lncRNA from 1 species